AUUGAACGCUGGCGGCAUGCUUUACACAUGCAAGUCGAACGGUAACAGGCCGCAAGGUGCUGACGAGUGGCGAACGGGUGAGUAAUGCAUCGGAACGUGCCCGGUCGUGGGGGAUAACGCAGCGAAAGCUGUGCUAAUACCGCAUACGAUCUAUGGAUGAAAGCGGGGGACCGUAAGGCCUCGCGCGAUUGGAGCGGCCGAUGUCAGAUUAGGUAGUUGGUGGGGUAAAGGCCUACCAAGCCGACGAUCUGUAGCUGGUCUGAGAGGACGACCAGCCACACUGGGACUGAGACACGGCCCAGACUCCUACGGGAGGCAGCAGUGGGGAAUUUUGGACAAUGGGCGCAAGCCUGAUCCAGCAAUGCCGCGUGCAGGAAGAGGGCCUUCGGGUUGUAAACUGCUUUUGUACGGAACGAAACGGUCUGGGUUAAUACCCUGGGCUAAUGACGGUACCGUAAGAAUAAGCACCGGCUAACUACGUGCCAGCCGCCGCCGUAAUAC
rnacentral:rRNA from 1 species